rnacentral:rRNA from 1 species
UACGUAGGGCGCAAGCGUUGUCCGGAAUUACUGGGCGUAAAGGGCUCGUAGGCGGCCAACUAAGUCGGAUGUGAAAUCCCCAGGCUUAACCUGGGAACUGCAUCCGAUACUGGAUGGCUUGAAUCCGGGAGAGGGAUGCAGAAUUCCAGGUGUAGCGGUGAAAUGCGUAGAUAUCUGGAGGAAUACCGGUGGCGAAGGCGGCAUACUGGACCGACAUUGACGCUGAUGAGCGAAAGCUAGGGGAGCAAACGGG